GGUAAUUUGGCUAGAACGAUUAUAAUAUUAAAUGGACAUCAUUUUCGAUCUGGCUACUUGUCUACAAAUUAAUAAACGACUGACGAAAUAAACAAGUGAACAAUGUCAAAAAGUCAGAAGCAACAUAAAUGCCUGUUAGCAAAUUGGUUAAAAAUACCAUGGUUCAUCCAUAGGAUGGAAUCACCAGAGGCUAUUUAAAUGGUGAAGUUUAUCUGUAUUGAUUAAAGUAGAAAGAAAAAGAGGAAAAGAAAUGUACAGAAUGAUUUCUUUUGUAUGGAAAGAUGCUUCCAAGUGUGUUUGUGUAUGUAUAGAAACAACUCUGGGAAAAACCAUAUGACUUUAAAAAGUUCUUUCUGAGGGUGGGAGUAAAAGAAUGCCAAUUCUCACUAUAUAUGUGUAUAUAUAUAAUUUUUACUGAGAAUUAUUUACUUUUAUGAUUUGAAAUAUUUUCCUCUAAAUAGCAGUAUAAGUUCUUAUUAAAUUUAUGCAUUUUGAUAGCUCUGUAAACAUCUAGCUAAGAAAAAAUACUUUUAAAAUAUGCUACAAAAUGUUGACAGUUGUCCUAUAUCUACAAGUAAGCUUUUUACCAAGUUUUGUUAAUCUGGAUUUAUCUAAUGUUUUAUAAUGAUCUUUUAUAAUCUGUAUAACUAAAUACUUCUAAUAAACUUGUUUCUUUAAAUAUAACCAAUGUAAUGAAAAAUAUCACUUGGUAUAAAAUACUCUCUAAAAUGUUCUUUUCAAAUACUGACCAUAAUUAUCAAAUACAUAUGGUCACUGGGGAGAUCUCUCCUUCCUGGCAAAAAGAAAUGAAAGGAAGGAGGGUUACACUCCCUCAUGGGAGAAUUGCAAAACGAGACAAAAUAUAUGAAACAACCAUUUUCAGACAUUAGCCAACAGGUAUCAGAGGACAAAGAGCAAUGAAAAGGAAAACAUAUCAGCUGAACUCUAUGACGUCCCCACUUUCUGCCUGGAGAGAGAGUUUCUGGGCCACCAUCAUAGAUAAGGGACAACCUAGCCAGAAGUACAGCGUCCCUAAAUUGAGGAGAUGGUGCUGGCAAUUUGAGGAGGUCAAGGCAGGUAAACUUUGCUGAGCUGAGCAACAAAGAGAAUGGUUCACACAGAGAAUUUGGGACGUAGUCUAAACUGGCUCCACUCCAGUCUUCAGCUGAUCACUGAUCAGAUUGGAGACGGUGGGAUUUCUAGAAAAGGACAGGGGUUAGGGAUCACAAAGGGGCAAGAGAAAACUUUUAGGAGUGAUAGCUAUGUCUUUUAUUUUGAUUUUGAUAAUUUUCCCACAGGCGUGGAUCCAUAUAGCAAAAUUUGCCCAACUAUGUGACUGGCCUGAGCUUUAGCUACAUUGUGGCUGGAUGUUGCAUGUUCCCUGAAUCAGCAAAUCACUGUUGGGACAAAAUGAUCUAUAUUGACUGCUCUCAAUCAAAUUAUUGAGAUUGUUCCUGAAUUAUGGCCCCACAGUCAUGCUGCCUUGUUCACUUGGAAGUUUCUAUAUUAAGAGAGAAUUUAAAUAACCCACUUGUUUACAUUGAAGGUACAUCAUAACCUGACCUCUCUGGACAGAUCCAAGAACAAAGGAUUUCUGUACCAAAAAGUCUGCAACAACCAAACACGCCCC